UUUUAGAUGGUGGACGUCUUUAUUUUCUUCAUCUACUUUGCCUUAUAGGUGGCUUUCUAUGGCUAACUGCCCCUAAACCCUGAAAUGUUCCAACUAAUAAACAAAGCAAGUACAAAGGAGUUGAAAACAUAGCCCUUUGUUGAAUAAGAAAUAGUCUACUUGAAGAGGAGAAUAAUCAAGAUUCAAAAAGUGCUUGCUCUUUCUGAACAUAGACUUUGGGAGUAAAUCUUUUGUGCUCCUCAUGACCAUCACACACGCAAAUAAUAUUGGAAAGAAAGACUAAAUAUAAAUUAAUUAGGGUUCUUACAGGGUAAGUUAUGAAGAAACUGAAAGUUAGAGGAAGGAAUGGAGGGAUGAGAACAGCCAAGGCUGGAAAAUACCCCAGGGCCCAACAAAGGAAAGGUAGAGUUAGAACCAUACCUUUUCAAUUGUU
rnacentral:lncRNA from 1 species